GGCCUGAUAGCACAAUGGUUAGUGCGCCUGUUCUUAUUAUUGAGCCACGUCCACGAUGCAAAUUUAGGCAGAAGAUCCCCGUUCGACUCGGGAUCAGGUCG